UGACUUCUUGCUCAAGGUUGCCUGUCC
rnacentral:piRNA from 1 species